rnacentral:rRNA from 1 species
CACGUAGUUAGCCGUGGCUUAUUCAAGGGGUACCGUCUUCUGCUCUUCCCCCCUUAAAAGAAGUUUACAACCCGAAAGCCUUCUUCCUUCACGCGGCGUUGCUGGGUCAGGCUUGCGCCCAUUGCCCAAUAUUCCCCCACUGCUGCCUCCCGUAGGAGUCUGGGCCGUAUCUCAGUCCCAAUGUGGCCGGUCAACCCUCUCAGUCCGGCUACUGAUCGUCGCCUAGGUGGGCCGUUACCCCGCCUACUAGCUAAUCAGACGCGAGGCCAUCUUCCAGCGAUAAAUCUUUGACAUGUCCGUGAUGCCACGGCCAUGUGUCAUGCGGUAUUAGCAGUCGUUUCCAACUGUUGUCCCCCUCUGGAAGGCAGGUUCCUCACGCGUUACUCACCAGUCCGCCACUAAGCAUUCCCUUCCAUUGUCCGAAAACUCUUUCAGGGGUGCUCCGUUCGACUUGCAUGUGUUAAGCACGCCGCCAGCCGUGUCCUGUGCCGUAGGAUCCAACGUACCUCUCGUACGACUACC